rnacentral:rRNA from 1 species
AUAUGAAAGGUGCAAGCGUUGUUCGGAUUUACUGGGCGUAAAGAGAGUGUAGGUGGUUUAUUAAGUCGGAUGUGAAAUCCCGGGGCUCAACCUCGGAACUGCAUUCGAUACUGAUAGGCUAGAGUUUGGGAGGGGUAAGCGGAAUUCCGUGUGUAGCAGUGAAAUGCGUAGAUAUACGGAGGAACACCUGAGGCGAAGGCGGCUUACUGGACCAAUACUGACACUGAGACUCGAAAGCGUGGGUAGCAAACAGGAUUAGAAACCCGGGUAGUCC